GACGAACGCUGGCGGCGUGCUUAACACAUGCAAGUCGAACGAUGAAGAAAUGCAUCGCAUCUUCGGCAGACAUUCAUCUCGGAUUAGUGGCUGACGGGUGAGUAACGCGUGAGCAACCUCCCUCUUACAAAGGGAAGGCCUCGGGAAACCGGGAGUGAUACCAUAUAACUUUGCAACGAAGCAUUUCGUUGCAAUCAAAGCUACGGCGGUAAGAGAUGGCCUCGCGUCCCAUUAACCGGACGGUGAGUUAACGGCUCACCAUAGUGACGAUGGGUAACCGGCCUGAGAGGGGGAACGGUCACACUGGAACUGAGACACUGUCCAGACUCCUACGGGAGGCAGCAGUGGGGAAUAUAGCGCAAUGGAGGGAACUCUGAUGCAGCGACGCCGCGUGAGUGAUGAAGGAGUUCGUUUCGUAAAACUCUGUUCUAUGGGAAGAAAAAGACUGUACCAUAGGAGAAAGCUCCGGCUAAAUACGUG
rnacentral:rRNA from 1 species